UGGGGAAUAUUGCACAAUGGGCGCAAGCCUGAUGCAGCCAUGCCGCGUGUGUGAAGAAGGCCUUCGGGUUGUAAAGCACUUUCAGCGAGGAGGAAGGUGGUGAGCUUAAUACGCUCAUCAAUUGACGUUACUCGCAGAAGAAGCACCGGCUAACUCCGUGCCAGCAGCCGCGGUAAUACGGAGGGUGCAAGCGUUAAUCGGAAUUACUGGGCGUAAAGCGCACGCGGGCGGUUUGUUAAGUCAGAUGUGAAAUCCCCGGGCUCAACCUGGGAACUGCAUUUGAAAACUGGCAAGCUAGAGUCUCGUAGAGGGGGGUAGAAUUCCAGGUGUAGCGGUGAAAUGCGUAGAGAUCUGGAGGAAUACCGGUGGCGAAGGCGGCCCCCUGGACGAAGACUGACGCUCAGGUGCGAAAAGCGUGGGGAGCAAACAGGAUUAGAUACCCCUGGUAGUCCACGCUGUAAACGAUGUCGAUUUUGGAGGUUGUGCCCUUGAGGCGUGGCUUCCGGAGCUAACGCGUUAAAUCGACCGCCUGGGGGAGUACGGCC
rnacentral:rRNA from 1 species